rnacentral:rRNA from 1 species
GAUGAACGCUGGCGGCGUGCCUAAUACAUGCAAGUCGAGCGAACAGACGAGGAGCUUGCUCCUCUGACGUUAGCGGCGGACGGGUGAGUAACACGUGGAUAACCUACCUAUAAGACUGGGAUAACUUCGGGAAACCGGAGCUAAUACCGGAUAAUAUAUUGAACCGCAUGGUUCAAUAGUGAAAGACGGUUUUGCUGUCACUUAUAGAUGGAUCCGCGCCGCAUUAGCUAGUUGGUAAGGUAACGGCUUACCAAGGCAACGAUGCGUAGCCGACCUGAGAGGGUGGUGGCCCAACAGGAAAUGGAGACCCGUCCCGGACCCUGAGGGGGGGAGGAGGGGGGAAUUCUUCCGGAAGGGGAAAAGCCCGACGGGACAACCGCCGGGGGGGUAAGGAGGGUUUUGGGAUCUAAAAACUUUGUUAUAGGGGAAAAAAAAAUGUGAAAGAACCUAUGCGCGUCUGGAGGGACCCUAAUAAGAAAGCCAGGCCAAAUACGGUC